rnacentral:rRNA from 1 species
AACGAACGCUGGCGGCAGGCCUAACACAUGCAAGUCGAGCGCUCACCUUCGGGUGGGAGCGGCGCACGGGUGAGUAACACGUGGGAACCUACCUUGAAGUACGGAAUAACUGAGGGAAACUUCAGCUAAUACCGUAUACGCCCUACGGGGGAAAGAUUUAUCGCUUCAAGACGGGCCCGCGUUGGAUUAGCUAGUUGGUGAGGUAAUGGCUCACCAAGGCAACGAUCCAUAGCUGAUUUGAGAGAAUGAUCAGCCACACUGGGACUGAGACACGGCCCAGACUCCUACGGGAGGCAGCAGUGGGGAAUAUUGGACAAUGGGCGCAAGCCUGAUCCAGCCAUGCCGCGUGAGUAAUGAAGGCCUUCGGGUUGUAAAGCUCUUUCAGAUGGGACGAUGAUGACGGCACCAUCAGAAGAAGCCCCGGCUAACUUCGUGCCAGCCGCCGCCGUAAAAC